rnacentral:rRNA from 1 species
UACGUAGGUGGCAAGCGUUAUCCGGAAUUAUUGGGCGUAAAGCGCGCGUAGGCGGUUUUUUAAGUCUGAUGUGAAAGCCCACGGCUCAACCGUGGAGGGUCAUUGGAAACUGGAAAACUUGAGUGCGGAAGAGGAAAGUGGAAUUCCAUGUGUAGCGGUGAAAUGCGCAGAGAUAUGGAGGAACACCAGUGGCGAAGGCGACUUUCUNGGUCUGUAACUGACGCUGAUGUGCGAAAGCGUGGGGAUCAAACAGGAUUAGAUAC